ACUCCUACGGGAGGCAGCAGUGGGGAAUAUUGCACAAUGGGGAAACCCGUAGCAUGCAGCCAUGCCGCGUGUAUGAAGAAGGCCUUCGGGUUGUAAAGUACUUUCAGCAGUGAGGAAGGGUGGGUAUGUUAAUAGCAUACACAUUUGACGUUAGCUGCAGAAGAAGCACCGGCUAACUCCGUGCCAGCAGCCGCGGUAAUACGGAGGGUGCGAGCGUUAAUCGGAAUUACUGGGCGUAAAGCGCAUGCAGGUGGUUUGUUAAGUCAGAUGUGAAAGCCC
rnacentral:rRNA from 1 species